CUCAAAACCCGUUCGUACGAAAUAUUUCGCAAUGGCACCCUUCUUGAAUCCCUAAUUUAAAUUUCCGCCGCCCCCAAACAACCCAAACCCAACCCAACCUUCGAACUCUUAAUCAGAAUCGACAUCGACCGCAGAAGCAAAGGAAGGAAGAGGGAGCGGGUUCUGCACCAUCCCCGGAGCCACUCGAUACGCCCAAGCCCGGUCUUCUUCGGAUUCUUCCACUCGGAGUUCGAGUCUCCCACUUUCUGCUCGGUGACAGGAGCCGGAGUUCUUGCAGUUCUUCCACUCGGAACUCUGUCACUCCCCGGAGAAUUAUAGAAAAUGGCUGGUUCAAAGCUAAAUGUGUUAGGAAAAAAUCAACAAUGAAGGGGAAUACCCCUCCAUCAGGCGAGCCAUCCACAGAUUCUCCAGCACAAAGGCAGUCAGCUCCUCUGGGUACACGGAAGCAGUCAGUGCCUCCGGUCAGCUCUACACGGAGGCAGCCAGCUCCAAAACUCUGUCCAGAAGACUUUUAGACGGGAGUUCUAGGGAUUCCAGUCCAGAGUAAAGAAGGGUGAAGGUCCCCUUGUGAUUGAAAAGAUAAAGACCCCCCGCGCGCCCCCCCCCCCCCGGGUCAAUGAUAAAGACUUUACUGAAGCUGCAUUUGCCUCCCACCCGCCCCCAAACAGCUUUUUUGUCCCUUUCAAUUUUAUAAAAUUAAUCAAAACUCUAACAUAUAUAUAUAUAUAUAUAUGUAUAUAAAAUUCUCUCCUUUCUAUAUAUAGAUACUAUAUAAUCACUAUGUUAAUAUUUCAUAUAAACUUUUGCCUUUUCUAUAUUUUUCUUAUCAUAUCAUUUAAUUAAGUGUCUCUUCUUUUUCUUUUUUUUUUCACUACGUCUAUAUAUUCAUUAAACUAAGACAAUUUCAAAUUUAAAGUAUUAUAUCAAAUUUUUACGCGAUAUUAAUUUGUUAAUAUUUUAUAAUUUUCAAUAUUACAGAUAUCGUUUCUCGCUCUUCGAUCAUACUGACUAUAUUAAUGUAAGGGUAUAAGGAUUAUAUUGAUGAAAAAUGGAAACAAAAAUUCUAUAAAAAUGAUAAAAAAAAGCCCAAAUAAAAAAUAUAGACAUAAGGACAUUUGUGAUACACAUCAAUUUGGAUGAACUUGAUGUGAUUAAGGAUAAAAUUGAUGUGAGUAAGGACUAAAUUGGAGUGGCCAAACACUAAAUUGAUGUGAUCAUGGAUAAAAUUGAUGUGAUCAUCGAUCUAAUUGAUGCAAUAUUUUUUUCAGGGAUUCAAUUGAUGCAAUUUGUAUAAGUCAUGAACGAAAUUGUCAACUUACUUGAUUUAGAGUAAAAGAACAUUAGAGUGGCAUAUUAUUUACAGUU